UUUUCUAAGUACAAAGUCAAAUGACCACUUCUUCCACCUUGAAUAACUUUUUCUAUGACCUCCAGAUGAAAAUGUUUUAUUCACCAAAGUUCUAGCUCUUUCAUUCCUUUUUAAUAUGGUCAGAAAUUUGACAUAAUUUGGAUUUGGCAUGAGGGAGUUAUAGAUUUUAGAAGUUGAGGAAAAUUGCUUGUUCAAUGGUAAUGGCCCAAAAUGACCUAUAAUGUUUCCUCUUAGUACAUGCCCUUGAAAGUUGAAUUUGAC
rnacentral:lncRNA from 1 species